rnacentral:rRNA from 1 species
CACGUAGGGGGCAAGCGUUGUCCGGAUUCAUUGGGCGUAAAGAGCUCGUAGGCGGUUCGAUAAGUCGGGUGUGAAACCUCCAGGCUCAACCUGGAGACGCCACCCGAUACUGUCGUGACUAGAGUCCAGUAGGGGAGCGUGGAAUUCCUGGUGUAGCGGUGAAAUGCGCAGAUAUCAGGAGGAACACCGGUGGCGAAGGCGGCUUUCUGGACGAUAACUGACGCUGAGACGCGAAAGCGUGGGGAGCAAACAGG